UACAGAGGUCUCAAGCGUUGUUCGGAUUCAUUGGGCGUAAAGGGUGCGUAGGUGGCGAGGUUAGUCAGGUGUGAAAUCUCGGGGCUCAACCCCGAAACUGCACUUGAUACUGCCUUGCUAGAGUACUGGAGAGGAGAUUGGAAUUUACGGUGUAGCAGUGAAAUGCGUAGAGAUCAUGAGGAAGACCAGUGGCGAAGGCGGGUCUCUGGACAGUUCCUGACACUGAGGCACGAAGGCCAGGGGAGCAAACGGG
rnacentral:rRNA from 1 species